CAACCUACCUAUCAGAGGGGAAUAACCCGGCGAAAGUCGGACUAAUACCGCAUAAAACAGGGGCACCGCAUGGUGAUAUUUGUUAAAGAGAUUCGCUGAUAGAUGGGCAUGCGUUCCAUUAGGUAGUUGGUGAGGUAACGGCUCACCAAGCCGACGAUGGAUAGGGGAACUGAGAGGUUGGUCCCCCACACUGGUACUGAGACACGGACCAGACUCCUACGGGAGGCAGCAGUGAGGAAUAUUGGUCAAUGGGCGGGAGCCUGAACCAGCCAAGUCGCGUGAAGGAAGAAGGAUCUAUGGUUCGUAAACUUCUUUUGCAGGGGAAUAAAGUGCAGGACGUGUCCUGUUUUGUAUGUACCCUGAGAAUAAGGAUCGGCUAACUCCGUGCCAGCAGCCACGGUAAUACGGAGGAUCCGAGCGUUAUCCGGAUUUAUUGGGUUUAAAGGGUGCGUAGGUGGUUUGAUAAGUCAGCGGUGAAAGUUUGCAGCUUAACUGUAAAAAUGCCGUUGAAACUGUCGGACUUGAGUGUAAAUGAGGUAGGCGGAAUUCGUGGUGUAGCGGUGAAAUGCUUAGAUAUCACGAAGAACUCCGAUUG
rnacentral:rRNA from 1 species